CUAUACUAAAGCUGAACAAGUUCGAUUUUUGAUAGAAUUUUGAGCCCUUCUUGAGAUUAACAAGUUGUAAACACGUGUUGUUUGAGAUGAUAUAUACCUCCCGUUGUUUCUUUUGUGUUCAGUUUCUGGUCUCGGUAGCGUUUUUAAUGAAGCUCAGUUCAUUUUCGUACCAACACGUGUUUAAUUUUCCAUUUUUCCUUCCUGGUAUUUGUGUGGUGGGCUGGCUUGGUGUAUCAUCGGUGUGCCCAUAGCUAGGAAGAGUCUAGGAUGGCGCAGCGUUGGAGCUUGGGCGGUCAAAGCGGCGUUGUGGCUGUGUUUCCUGACGCCCGACGCGUGCUACCUUCCAGUGUCUUCUACUCCGUACUUAUCUCCACCUUUGUCCUCAUUAUUUUUCCAAUGAAUCGCCGCUGGCAAUCCCUGCAGGAUUUGCUCCCUACCGCCAUCCCCUCUCUUCGUGUGCUUUGACAGCCGCGCUGCUCCGGCCGACACCCGGUGUGCUUUGCGCUGGUGGAGAGGCUAUCCUGGGAGAGGAAGCGGCGGAUUCAAGUGGAGAACGGUCAAGAUCGGCGGCUGAUGGAGAUGCGACGCCGUGAGGAUCGAGGAGAGAGACAUGGAGAUCCGUUGCCAACACGAAUUUCCCCCUGAUCCCCUGCCAGCUUGGGGAAAUCAGAGAGCGACAUGGGGCGGCGGUUACCAUUCUUCUUCCCCUUGUCCGUCUCCUACGGAUGGAUGGCGGUGCUGAUUUGGCCCGCGGCCGGCGCGAUGGGACGCUGCUUAGCGGGGAUGAAGCUGUUGCAGAGAAGAUGAGUCUCCUUUCGACCGGCAGUCGACACCACAGCUGCUCUUUUGGAAUAGGGGGAGGUGCUCCAACUCCAGCCCUUGCAGUUUGUCGUCGAUGGCUCCGAUGCUUGGGCCAAGCUAGUGUCCAUCGAGUCCAUUGCAGGCAUUUGUGGGAAAAUUAAAAUUGUGCUGCCAUUUUUCUUGGGGUGAUUGUCCUCGGCCAGAUCAGGGCGUUCAUGUUGGCAACCUCAAUACAUCCACUCCGCUCCCAGCUAGCUCUUUAGAAUUUUGGAUAUAAUGAAAAUGGUAAGUGUCAUGUCCGCUCCAGCUAGAAUGAGCUAGAACAUGACCAGCUUAUGUUAAAAUGUGUCAAAUCUUGUGUUUUUUUUAUUUAUCCUAUCUCCACUUUCUGGUUGAAUUAUGUUUCUUAACAAUCUGCAUCGUUAGAUUUGUUAUAACGAUCUUUACCCUGUUAGGACCUCAGUAUUGUGAUGGACAAUUUGACCAUCUUUGUUUCUACACCAGUGGAUUUUGUAGUAGACGUAGACUUUCAGGCUAAAUCAUCAGGUUAUAGUCGGUCAGUUGGCAGGCCUCUUAAUGAAAUUAAAAACAGUGCUGCUGUCGUCCAUCAAACAAAGCGUCUUCAUGGUUUAUCUGGUAUGAUAAAUAGUGAAGUUCAGAGUUUCAGACAACGAAGAUUGAUAAAGGAUAAUGAACUACUUAAUCUGUGAGUUUGUAUGAGUGUUCCUCCAUGUCAAAUAUUGCAAGAAUGCUAUCUAUAAUUUCUUUUCCCCAUGAGAUUAUUAUCUUUCCUAAGAGAGAGCACCAAUCCUUUAACUUAUUUCUUUUGAAAAUUUUAAGUACAGAAAAUUUACACAUCAAGGUUUCCUCACUGCAUGCCAAAAAAUUCUAAAAAUGACAGUAGGUAAUCUUCCUUGCAAAUUUGAGUUCUGAUGGUAUAGCUCUGUAUUGCCAAAUUGACUCAAUAUACAUUGUGUCAAAUGCAAAUCAUUUGAUAUCAUUGUGUUUCUGGAGAGGCUUGAUGAAUCUCUUUUCAUUUAUGUGUUUCAGGCUAUGUUUGAUAAGUUGUUUACCUUCCUUAUUGUCCGUAUUUACAAACUCCUUCGCCUGGGUUAGGCCUGAACAUUGUGGACUGGAUGUUCAAGCGUUUUGUUUCUUAACUCUGCAGAUUGUUCUUAUAUGUCAAGGUAGUGAGGAUGGAAGCUAUAGUUGUAAGCACACAAUGAAAAACCGUGGUGGAGGUUAGUUCACAUUGACAUUCGCUUCUGGUGAAUGACCACUUAUUUAAUAUUUGCAUUCAUACAUGGAGUGCGCUCAAAAAUUUAUUACUUAUUUGUUACUGUUAUUAUGAUGGAGGAUAAAAUACCAUCUAAUCUAGGGCAGAUAGUCAAGGGAGUGACAAAGAUAUAAGUGUAAGGAUUUGAGAGGACUUCUUGGUUAUUAAAAAUGUUAAUAUAUGGAUGCUUAUCAUGUAUAGCCAGCAUAUGCAGAUUGGAAACAAAUAAUUAACUCUGUCUGUAUCAAGGCAUUAUAAAUUAUAUGUCAACCAGUAGGCUGCUCUCGCCAAUGGCAGUCAAUCUGCAUUGUGCAACAUAAAACUGCUGGUCUGUUCUUAUUAUUUUCUCUAUGUAUGACAACUAUGAUACGAGUAUGCAUAAAUAUCAGAAACCUAGAAAGCAAACAGUUCUCUGUUAGUUGUGAAUGCUGAACCUAUUUUUAUUUUGGAGAUGGUUUCGCUAUAUUAGCUUAUUUCCUCUUUGUACGUUGCAGAGAUGCUACCCGAAGAUGUUCUCCUGAUCAUCUUAUGUAGAUCCUGUGCAGGUUAUCUUUCUAUUAUUUGAGUUUAAAAGGUUUCAGUAUCUAUUAUGGUAAUUGUGUUAUCAUGUGUUUUGAUUUUUCUUUUGAAAAUUCUUCAUUUCUAUGAUUCAGACAUGUAAGGGUGUUGCUGGUCGGCUAUAGUUUUGACUUAUCAUUUGCUGGCUUCAUGAGAUUUGAGUUUGUUUUGCUCAUACCCACAAGUAUGCACAAUGAUAAGAAAUAAAGCUAUUUGGGUAUGUGCAAUGUAAUCGACUGGUUAGGCCUUUCUUGAAUUAACAGUUCUUAGCUGUCACCUUUCAUAUGUAUAUGUUACUACUUUAUUGCAUAUAUCAGAUGGUGUAGGGAGUGAGAAGAAGAUUCAUAUGUUUGGAGACUUAUUUGGGUCUGAGAAUUUCUCCUUACAAUAGAAAAGUACAGUUAGAUCUUCUCCGAAGUGUCUACAUAUAAGUGAUUUGUUGCAAGCAUGACCUUGUACUUAUUCAGACUGCAGUUCAAUAAGAGAUCGGAAGGGGCCUUCUGGUGGAAGGGGCCUUCCGAUGAAUAUCGGAGUUCUUUUAUUUUUAAGUCA